ACAUUGGUGAUUUAUAACGUUGGUAUCGUACUACUUAUCCAAGGAACAAAAGAUAAGCUCAUAAGAUUGAUUAGUUGAACAUAUCUGCUAGAUGAUUGUAUUUUUUACACGGCCUGAUUUGAAGAGAGAGAGUAAUAAACAAAUACCGAGAUCAUUCCUUGUAUACCUUGCCGAUGGAGGAUUGAGAGGUCGGCCAUGUCUCUGAAUUAAGAAGCCCUUAACCGCCUCACUGAGUCUGAUACAUAACAUUCUCACAGCCAUGAGUUUGAUUCGUAACACAUGAUUGACACCAUCCGAAUUAAGAAGUCCUUACAUCUAGUCAAGCAGCAACAGAUCAAGAAACAUCUCCAUUAUCUUCGAAAUAUUGGUCGAGACACAAUAAAGAUCUUUUGUUGGGUAUGAAAUUACAACUAAUCU
rnacentral:lncRNA from 1 species